AACUCUACAAAUAUCUGGACUCUUGUCACGAAAACGCAGCGAAAUGCGAUGGUUAAUGUGAAUUGCACUAUAUAGUGGAUCAUCCAAUUUUUUUUGUUUAGUUUCAUCAAAAGCCACGUGUUCACAUUUAAUAAAGGGCGA
rnacentral:rRNA from 1 species